CUCUCAUUUAUGUCAUGUUCAGCCAAAUUUAGUCAGUUUAAAUAAGCUAAUUGGAGAUAUCGAUAAUAGCUUAGUUCAUUAAAGCUAACAUACCUCAAUGUGCUCUUUUAUUCUUUUACUCUGUCUAUCGUCAGACAAUUUUACACAUCAAGGGCAUUGCAGAUUAAGCAUUGCAACUUAAAUUAAUUAAUUAAUUAAUUAAUUAAUAAGGUG